CAUCCAUUCAGUUUCCAGUUUCUAGCCACUACAAAAAGGGCUGCCACAAAUAUUCGUGCACAUACAGGUCCCUUUCCCUUCUUUAUAAUCUCUUUGGGAUAUAAUCCCAGUAGUAACACUGCUGGAUCAAAGGGUAUGCACAGUUUGAUAACUUUUUGAGGAUAGUUCCAAACUACUCUCCAAAAUGGUUGGAUUCGUUCACAACUCCACCAACAAUGCAUCAAUGUCCCAGUUUUCCCGCAUCCCCUUCAACAAUCAUCAUUAUUUUUUCCUGUCAUCUUAGCCAAUCUUACAGGUGUGUAGUGGUAUCUUAGAGUUGUCUUAAUUUGCAUUUCUCUGAUUAAUAAUGAUUUGGAGCAUCUUUUCAUAUGACUAGAAAUAGUUUCAAUUUCUUCAUCUGAGAAUUGUCUAUUCAUAUCCUUUGACCAUUUUUCAAUUGGAGAAUGGCUUGAUUUUUUAUAAAUUAGAGUUAAUUCUCUAUAUAUUUUGGAAAUGAGGCCUUUAUCAGAACCUUUGACUGUAAAAAUAUUUUCCCAGUUUAUUGCUUCCCUUCUAAUCUUGUCCAUUAGUUUUGUUUGUACAAAAACUUUUUCAGUUUAGUAUAAUCAGAAAUUUUCUAUUUUGUGAUCAGUAAUGAUCUCUAGUUCUGCUUUGGUCAUAAAGACCUUCCCCUUCCACAGGUCUGAGAGGUAAACUAUCCUAUGUUCCUCUAAUUUAUUAAUAAUUUCAUUCUUUAUGCCUAAGUCAUGAACCCAUUUUGACCUUACCUUGGUGUACGGUGUUAAGCAUGGAUCAAUGCCCAGUUUCUGCCAUAUUAGUUUCCAAUUUUCCCAGCAAUUUUUAUCAAACAGUAAGUUCUUAUCCCAAAAGCUGGGAUCUUUGGGUUUGUCAAAGACUAGGUUGCUAUAUUUGUUGACUGUUUUAUCCCUUGAACCUAAUCUAUUCCACUGAUCAACUAAUCUAUUCCUUAGCCAAUACCAAAUAGUUUUGGUAACUGCUGCUCUAUAAUAUAAUUUUAGAUCUGGUACAACUAAGCCACCUUCAUUUGAUUUUUUU
rnacentral:lncRNA from 1 species